UACGUAGGGUGCAAGCGUUGUUCGGAAUUACUGGGCGUAAAGGGCGCGUAGGCGGCCUUCUAAGUCGAACGUGAAAUCCCCGGGCUCAACCCGGGAACUGCGUCCGAUACUGGAAGGCUUGAAUCCGGGAGAGGGAUGUGGAAUUCCAGGUGUAGCGGUGAAAUGCGUAGAUAUCUGGAGGAACACCGGUGGCGAAGGCGACAUCCUGGACCGGUAUUGACGCUGAGGCGCGAAAGCCAGGGGAGCAAACGGG
rnacentral:rRNA from 1 species